rnacentral:rRNA from 1 species
UGGGGAAUAUUGCACAAUGGAGGGAACUCUGAUGCAGCGACGCCGCGUGAACGAAGAAGGCUUUCGAGUCGUAAAGUUCUUCUAUAUGGGAAGAUAAUGACGGUACCAUAAGAAAAAGCCCCGGCUAACUACGUGCCAGCAGCCGCGGUAAUACGUAGGGGGCUAGCGUUGUCCGGAAUCACUGGGCGUAAAGGGUUCGCAGGCGGAAAUGCAAGUCAGGUGUAAAAGGCAGUAGCUUAACUACUGUAAGCAUUUGAAACUGCAUAUCUUGAGAAGAGUAGAGGUAAGUGGAAUUUUUAGUGUAGCGGUGAAAUGCGUAGAUAUUAAAAAGAAUACCGGUGGCGAAAACGACUUACUGGGCUCAUUCUGACGCUGAGGAACGAAAGCGUGAGUAACAAACAGG